AAAAUUUUAGUUUAAUAUAAAAUAUUUCAUUUACAAUGAAAAGAUUUAAAUAUCAUAAAAAUUUUA
rnacentral:tRNA from 1 species